rnacentral:rRNA from 1 species
AUUGAACGCUGGCGGCAGGCUUAACACAUGCAAGUCGAGCGAGCGGCGGACGGGUGAGUAAUGUAUGGGAAACUGCCUGAUGGAGGGGGAUAACUACUGGAAACGGUAGCUAAUACCGCAUACCAUCAGAUGUGCCAAGAUGGGAUUAGCUAGUGGGUGGGGUAAUGGCUCACCUAGGCGACGAUCCCUAGCUGGUCUGAGAGGAUGACCGGCACCCCGGGAGCUGGGACACGGUCCAGACUCCUACGGGCGGCAGCGGUGGGGAAUGUUGCACAAUGGGCGCAGGCCUGAUGCAGCCCUGCCGCGUGGGUGAGGAAGGCCUUCGGGUUGUAAAGCACUUUCAGCGAGGAGGCGUUACUCGCAGAGGAAGCACCGGCUAACUCCGUGCCAGCAGCCGCGGUAAUAC